UAGUGGUUAACGGAGCUCUCUACAAGCCAACUCUGAAAGGAAGUGAUGGCACAGUGCCACAGCUGCUAGUUCAUGGUCACCCCUGCCUCUGCCUCCGCACCAAUUUUCCUCUCCGACACCACGAAGGGUGGCGCAGGCUAGGGUUUGCAUGAACUAGGAGUCGUGGGUUGCCUUCAUCUUUUGGUUUUGGUUUGAAGGGAGCUCCCUUUUGCUCUUUC
rnacentral:pre_miRNA from 1 species